GAUACGGUCCCGAACAGUUCCCUGUUGCUUGAUUUUUUUUCCCCUGUCGACAAAAGAAGAAGAAAAAUCAAACAGUAUACAAACAUUUAAAGCUGACAGUGUUUAAAAGUUAUUUAGAAUGAAAAACUAAUGCACGCUUCAUGCAAGAGCACAUUAAUAAAAUAUUACACAGAUAUUUUCCUAAAAACGACAUGUUUUUUGCCAUGUACAGGAAACAUAUUUAGUAAUUGCCUUAAUCAUAAAAACAAAAGUUUGAUAUAGGUGUAGAACACAAUAAUAUCAGAUUUUUUUGAGUCAACUCAAGUCUGUGUCGACUACAAUCAUACUUCUAACAUAAACCUUUAUAAACGCACAUAAAUAUUAUCAACUCAUGGUAUAGAAAACUCCUUAAAACAAAACGUCAAAUUUGCUUUUGGGGAAAUCCUUGUUUGUAUAUAUGCAAUCGAAAACAAUGAAUAGAUGAAUUAUAAUGUUAAACUUAGUCAGAUUGUAUUUCCAGCACUUCAGCAACCAAUGGAGGCCAAAAGUCUCAACAAGUUUCUUCUGAUUGGACGCAUGUAAACGAUGCGGUUCUGAAGAUACCUAAAUUCAGCUUAGUCCCUCUGGGGAAAGACAAAUGGUCACACGUUCAGCAGCCAGGAAAAUCAGAACGGGUGGACUAGUUUGCGUUCCUGAUGAUGAUUUCUUUAUGGUCGGGGCUGGGUGGCAAAAGCCAUGGGACGCAUAGGACAAUAAUACAAU